AUGAGUUUUUUUUUAAUCAACUAAAAAAUUACAUUAAAUUAAGCAAAUUCAAAGUACAAGAUGUACUAAGAAUUUAAAUACAAAAUAUAUGGAGGUAAUUGCAGUCCCCGAAAACAUAAAGGCAAACAAGCACAUCAAAAGUUAAGACAUUAUACGUCAGUCGAAUUCAAGCAACCCCACAGUUUAGUGCACCAAAAAUUGAAGUCAUGAUUGAAACUUACAUCCUUAGUUUUAACCCCAUUUUCAUGAAAGCGUCUUUAUCUUCUCGAGCAAUAUAUUGACAUUAAGAUCCACCUGAUUGAACACAAUAGAGUUUCACGCCAUCCAAAUCGACCAUACACAAAACAUCUAAAUAGUGUCAAGUUUAGAACAAACUUCCUUUCCCAUGUGAGAAAGACCAAAAAAUUGAUAAGCACGAGCCUCCAGAUUUUUAUGAACAGCACAACUAAUUCCGAACAACUUCAAAAGUCUCGUCCAAACUUUCUCAAAGCAAGGGCAUAAGAUAACAGAUGUUGAAUAUACUAUUCUUCUCCAAAACCCGCCACAUGUAAGGGAGAUGGAGACAUAACAAUACCUCUUAUAGCAAGGUUGUCUUUUGUAGGUAGUCUUUGUUGAAAAACCUUCCACACAAAGACGGGACGGAUGAUGCAUCUCUUGGCAAGGGACUAGAUAUCAAAUUAUACACCUCUUUGACCAUAUAACCACCUCUUGUCCUCCGAUUCACCACCUUUGUCUGUAAUAAUCUCCUGGAAUAAAAAAUACUAUCCAAUAAUAACACGCACUCACCCAUCAUCUCCUUCUUCCACUCAAAAAAGCUCACAUAACUUUCAAUUUAAUUUUAACAAUUGGAAUUGUAUUGAUUUUGAUCCACGUAAAUUCUACUAAUUUGAAUAAAUAGUAAUGAUCUAGGAAAUUUUGAGAGUUCCAAUUUAACAUUUGAAAAAAAUAAAAAUAUGUUUUAGUCUUUAAAAAAAAUUGAGUCAAAUUAGUUUUUAUGUACCACAUUUAUAAAAUUAUAUUUUUUUUUGCUGACUUGUCUUUUGACUCAUCAACUUGAUUAUAUCUCACACGUAAUUUCUCUAAAAAGUGACAAUUAGGUAUUUGACAAGAAUUAAAAAUAGACAAUUAAGUUUAUGACAAUAAUUAAACAAACAAACUUAGAGUUUUUGUUAGAAACUUAAUUAACUAUUUUUAAUUAUUGUCAAAUACCUAAUUUUUUUUUAUAUAUAAUAAAAAUUACAUGUAAAUAAUUAAGUUGACCAAUCAUUUGACAAAUAAAAAAAAAAACUCAAUUUUAGAACUGUCAUCCAAAUAAGAACUAAUUUAACUAAAUUUAUAUCAAAAUGAGUCUUUUAUUUUUAAAUAAAUAAAUAUUAUAUAUUUUUGAGUCCACAAGAAGAAAUCCGGUUAUUUGCUACAAUUAUUUCACCACUGAUUUGGUUAGUAGUUAAUGAAGUGACAUUUAACUAGCAACAGUAUAUUGUUUUUAACUAACUAUCAAUUAUAAACACAGGUCUUUUAAAAAAGAAACACUUGCCCAUUCAGAAACACCUAUCGUCCUGGCUCAUUCGGGAACAUUGCGCUCCCUCUCUGAAUUUCCCUCUAAGAAGUUUCUCGCUCUCGCUCAUAAGAACACUCAUAAUAAAUUCCUUGCUCUCUCAAUCUCACUCACCCGCACUCAGAAUCUCUAUCUCGUUUAUAAAAAAUCUGGUUCUAAUAGGCUUGCUUAAAACUAAGGGAGGUUGUGUUGUGGAUACUAUUGAAAUUUUCUAGGAACUAUUGUGACUAAUUGUUAUUGUCGUACUUUUUUCUUUCUCUAGUAAUUAUAUACCUCAUUUUAGUCAUCUCCACUGGCAUAUUACUUACAUUGCCGAUAAGGUAUUCAUAUCUUUGUUCAUGUUACGGAUAGUAAUUUAUCAUUUCAUUGUACAUUAAUUUGCACUUAGGAAUUUAGAACAUCUAAGCCAGCAUUGCAUGGCUUCCUACAAGCUCAGUGGUUGGUCAUUCUUAAUAUAUUUAUGAAAUUCUUUAUACAAAAUAUUGCAGUUGAAUUCCUAAAAAAUAGCAUCCAGACAAAAUAUUGGAAAUACAUUUUAUAAUAUCAAAGGUGAAGAACCUUUUGGACAACUUGUGACGUUGAAGCUUAAUGAGGAGGCUUUGGGACAACUAAAAGGUGCACUAUUCCAAAUUACUAUGAAUCUAAUUUUAGUAACCUGAUAUCCUGUAACAGAUCAUUUUUCCAUCAAGACUUGAGUUAGGAUAUUGUAUUUGUCUUUCACAGUUUACUCUCUAGUUGAUUUGUUGGUGGUGCAGGUUCUAGGCUCCAAGUUUCAAACUGGUAGCAUUUUUCUAAAGUUACAACAUUGUUUUGUAUAUUAUAUACACUGUAACCUGAUUCAGAGGUUGACAAUUUGAUACUUGCUUAGAUUAUAAUUUUGAAAUUCCAUUUCUGACACUAUAUACAUGGCAACCUGAUGCAGAGGUCCACUAUUUGCCGUCAUAUCUAAAACUCGUAAGGCAUAUUUGGAGCUUUAAUUUAUCAUAUAAGAACAGUAAUAUUCACUAUUAUGAGUUGAAAAUCUGUGUAGGGACCUCUCUUCUAACAAUCGUAGUGGUGGCUUCUUACCAUGAAUAUCAACAAGAACAAUCAAAUAAGAUCCCUUCACUUUUCUUUUAUUGUUAAUUUUCUUGUAGUCUUUUAGUUGUAUAUAAAAGUUUACAACAUAGUGGUAGAAAGUUGCCAAGGUAGUAGUCAAGACAUACAAAUACAAGAAAUAGGAGCUAUUAUUUAUUUGUGUUAUUUAAUAGGAAGUUGUAAUUAGUACAUGUGAUAGGUGCUAAGUAUGAUCCAUUUGAUACAUUAAAUGGCUUUAACAAUUUUAAAUUUAUGAUCAAUUGGCGUGACUAAUAGAAUUAUGUUUGUGAAGCUCAAGUUAGUAGUUACACUUUUUUUCCUACUGACAUAUAUGAUGGAUCACUUGAUAAUUUCAUAUAUUUAUUGCAUGUUUUUUCAUCUAAAAUAGGCAGCCAUAUUUUUUUGACUUGUGCACUUACCUAAUGCUCGUAUAGCGAUUCACCUAGUUGUUUCAUAUCAGGCACAUACAAUAAAUGUACCAUCAUAAAAUUUUAUAAUGAACUGGUGCACGCAUCAAUUUUUUUUCUUCCUUUAGGAACAAUUCUUACCACCGGAAAAUGUAUUGAACAAGAACAGGAAUCCACAUUAAAGUUAGAGCCAAAUAUAGGGUUGAGCUUAAGGCAUAUCUUUGAGUCCUAAAGGUUAAGUGCAGUAUGAUUUACUAACAUAAUACACAGUAUCACUUUCUUAGUUUCAUGAUCCAUAUUGACGAUUGAUGAUAUUAUGUCUAUGUGAUAAACGUUUGUGUAUAGCUUCUAGUCUAGAUGCUACCACUUUGGCCUUAUAAGUGAUUUAUGAUUAGUUGACUUGCUACUAAAUAAACUUCUUUGGAAUGUUGCUUUUCUUACAGGAUGUAGGACUGUCUAUUCUUGAAAGUUAUUCGAAGGUAAUGGAGAGACUGAUAUCUUCUUAGUGGCUCAUUUCUUUAUAUUGUUAGAUGUAUUGGAGCCUAUUUUUUUUUUUAGAGUUUUAGAGAUACUUGUUUUGAACAAGUCUUUGAAGAUUGAGACAAUGACGUAUAUGGAAUGAAAUUCUAACAAAGUUUAUAUUA